rnacentral:pre_miRNA from 1 species
CCGCUCACAUGACCACCGUGACUCGCUGCUCACGUGACCGAGCGACGGGCCGGGCCGGGCCGCGGCGGAGCCGGAGCGGAGCGGAGCGGAGCGGGGCCGGGCCGGGACGG